rfam:Acanthamoeba castellanii str. Neff unplaced genomic scaffold scf7180000084777, whole genome shotgun sequence.
CGCUGAUGAUGCAUAAAUAUUUGCUACUCUUGACUUCUUGCAUGACGACAUUUUCCACCAAGAUCUCUGAGGCG